UCGAUAGCGCGAAUCUUCGAGAAUAUUAUUUCUUUACUCUCUCUUAUGGUAAUCAUUCAUAUGUAUAUUCUGGAAAAUGAUGGUGGAUAUUGUGCGACGCCAUUGCCGAUGCACUCGAAGGCUCGGACCACUUUGAAGAGACGUGAACGCGCGCACGCGCGCACAGUCGCGGAGUGGGCGCGCGCCGGCGGUCCAAUCGGUGCCAGGCGUUUUCUUACGUCAGAGAACCAGCUGACAUAAUCAGAACGAUUCAAAUGUGUAUACAGCCACCGCACAGGCAGGAAAGAGCUUGUCGGAGGGGAAAUUGAAAAUCAGCCAUCACUGCUAAGGCCCGGGACAAGAAUGUUUUAAAAAUCAUUGGCAAAGAACGAGUUCCGAGUUCUCACUUCCAAGUUAUUCCAUUGUACGAAAGAUUAGAUAAAUUGUAUUGAGUUUUCGGAAAGAUGACGUUACGAGCGAGAUGCGAUGACAUUUUCAAAGUACGAUGACGCGAUUAUUAAGGUACAAUGAAGCGUAACGAUUACUCGACGAUACAAACGAACCGGUCGCUUACUGAUAGAAGUAAAACCGAGUUAGUAAAGUUCGGAACGAACGGGGAGAGGUUAAAUAGCCGAUGAUCUGUUCGACCGGGAGAAAGCAGAUCGUCGAUGCUGUAACAAUGGAUCUCGUUAUAGUCGCGGCUAUUUGGCGCACGUCCGAUACGAUGGUUAGAGAUUAAAAAAUUUUUUUAUCGUCGUGAAUUUUGUAUAAAUACUUUAUUCUUUCCUUUUCAGUUGCUGAAUUUCGAAGAAAGUUAUAUAUAAUCUCUCUCUUAUAUACAAAAAUAUAAAUGAAAUAUAAGAUUUCUAUAAAAUUAUUUUCAAAUACAUUUUUACGAGCGUAGAAUUGAAAAGGUUAUAAGGUUAUAAAUAUAUCUUUUUUUAAGAUGCAUCUUCAUACUUUCGAUAGAGCUGCGUAUUCUGCAUACGCGGUCAUUGUAAAUUUCCAUUCUAUAUCAGUAAACUGGUUACGGCUAACUCGAAAUUCACUCCGUUUAUCCCGUAAAACCGCAGAGUAUUCGCCGCAAGAGGCUACAUUAUGCAUCGUCGUGCGUCAUUAGUAAUGUCAGCUUUUAUUCCAUACUGUUCUUUCAUGUACGAGCACCGCUACGAAAGAUUCUUGAAUACCUCACCUUGAAGAUCAGGCUGCUAACCGCAGCUUUCUUAUCGAAAAGGAGACACACAUCCUUCGCGAGGACUUUUAAAAAUGCAACCAUACGCAAAACUCCUUUCGUUACGAAAGAAUGAGAUAUCUAUAAUUUACGACGAGACGUGGGCGAAAUGUAUAUUCGAAUGUAAUAGUCGUAAUGCAAUAGUCUUGCUCAGAUUUCGCUAUUUCACGAUACAUAGCAGCAAUCUAAUAUUUGUGUUUAAUAUUUUAAGUGUGUACGUACCAAGUAUUAUUAAUAUUUAUUAUAUCGAUUAUAUCAAAUUUGGAAACACUAUAUUCACACAUUCGCAUAAAAUGCAUGCAUAUGUAUGUGACUGCGUAACAAACACGUCGAUAACAUAUAUGUAUUUAUAAGUAUUAACCGAUUUGUUUACAAACUGUUUACGAAAUUAGUAUCGUAAGAUUGUUAAAACGUUGCAACGCAAAUGAUUUGCACAAUGCUAAAAAGUUUUGUAAUUUACAGAGCGUUUCUAAGAUCUGCAAUAAAUUUUCUCGA